CACAGUAUUUGGGUAGGAGUGUCCCAUUUUUCCAGGUAGUCUGUCACGGCUUCCCUUGGCUAGGAAAGGGAAAUCCCCCAACCCCUUGUGCUUCCCAGGUAAGGUGAUGCCCUGCCUUGCUUCAGCUUGCCCUCUGUGGGCUGCACCCACUGUCCAACCAGUCCCAAUGAGAUGAACCAGGUACCUCAGAUGGAAAUGCAGAUAUCACCUAUCUUCUGCAUGGAUCACGCUGGGAGCUGCAGAUUGGAGCUGUUCCUGUUUGGCCGUCUUGGCUCUGACUGUAUUUAUUUUAUUUUGCUUUCAAAAAUCUCAUUUUCAAGUUACAUGGCAAAUUCAGAUACCACCUACAUAAGGACCAUGAGAAAUGCUCCAAGAAGCAGCAUCCAGUUAAGCUCAUUUUCUACAUUUCUGCUUUGGGGAAAUGUACAGGCAGAGGCAGGCACUGUCGGGAUGGACAUCUCCAGAAAGCCUAUAAGAGAAACUUUCCCGGGACCGAAGUUUUGAGCAUUUAUUUUUCUUCAUUAAUUCAAUGAAUAUUUAUGCAGCCAUUGUGUAGCUUACAUUAGUGGGGGAAACUGACAAUAAACAUUAGGAUGAUAAAUAUGCAAAUUAUACAAUGUGUUAGGAUGAAACCCAAGUUGUAGAAAAAUGUAAGACAAGGUAGGUGAGAGUUCUCUGGGCGGGGAAGGGGUAGGUUGCUGUAUUAAUGGGG
rnacentral:lncRNA from 1 species